UACGUAGGUGGCGAGCGUUGUCCGGAAUUACUGGGUGUAAAGGGCGUGUAGACGGGUGUGCAAGUCAGAUGUGAAACUCCAUGGCUUAACUGUGGAACUGCAUCUGAAACUGCGUAUCUUGAGUGCUGGAGAGGAAAGCGGAAUUCCUAGUGUAGCGGUGAAAUGCGUAGAUAUUAGGAGGAACACCAGUGGCGAAGGCGGCUUUCUGGACAGUAACUGACGUUGAGGCGCGAAAGCGUGGGGAG
rnacentral:rRNA from 1 species